rnacentral:rRNA from 1 species
CCUACGGGAGGCAGCAGUGGGGAAUAUUGCGCAAUGGGCGAAAGCCUGACGCAGCGACGCCGCGUGAGGGAUGAAGGUCUUCGGAUCGUAAACCUCUGUCAGCAGGGAAGAACGGUCACUGUGCUAAUCAGCAGUGAAUUGACGGUACCUGCAAAGGAAGCACCGGCUAACUCCGUGCCAGCCGCCGCGGUAAUACGGAGGGUGCGAGCGUUAAUCGGAAUUACUGGGCGUAAAGCGCUCGUAGGCGGUAUGUCAAGUCAAGGGUGAAAUCCCCGCGCUCAACGUGGGAACUGCCUUUGAAACUGGCAAACUGGAGUGUGUGAGAGGAUAGGGGAAUUCCAGGUGUAGGAGUGAAAUCCGUAGAUAUCUGGAGGAACAGCAGUGGCGAAGGCGACUAUCUGGCACAUAACUGACGCUGAGGAGCGAAAGCGUGGGUAGCAAACAGGAUUAGAUACCCCUGUAGUC